rnacentral:rRNA from 1 species
ACUACGGGUGGCAGCAGUGGGGGAUAUUGCACAAUGGGGGGAACCCUGAUGCAGCGACGCCGCGUGGGUGAAGAAGCGCCUCGGCGCGUAAAGCCCUGUCAGCAGGGAAGUAAAUGACGGUACGUGAAGAAGAAGCCAUGGCUAACUACGUGCAGGCAGCCGCGGUACUACGUAGGGGGCAAGCGUUAUCCGGAUUUACUGGGUGUAAAGGGGGCGCAGUGGGCGAUUCAAGCCAGGAGUGAAAGCCCGGGGCCCAACCCCGAGACUGCUCUUGGAACUGCGUGGCUGGAGUGCAGGAGGGGCAGGCGGAAUGCCUGGUGUAGCGGUGAAAUGCGUAGAUAUCAGGAAGAACACCGGUGGCGAAGGCGGCCUGCUGGGCUACAACUGACGUUGAGGCCCGAAAGCGUGGGGAGCAAACAGGAUUAGAUACCCGAGUAGUC